GAAAUCAACAGGCAACAAAGAAUGGGCAUGCUGGAACUACUCCACAGGGAAGCGGGAUCCUAUACAGGCGACAGGGGAAGAACAAAACAGAAACUCACACAGAAGCUCCUUACUAGAAAACUGGAAUGACACCAGUCUAAAGGAACUGAUUGGGUGAAGUUCAGUGUUGAGUUGCUUGCCUAGGUUGUGGGAGGCCCUGAAACAAU